UAUGUUGUGUUUUAUCUGAAAUAAUAUUUUUUAUUAUAAAAUCUAAAGUUUAAUGUUUGAUUUAUCUUUUUAAAACAUAAUUAAUAAUUUAUUAUGUUGGUCUUGAUUUAAUAGUUAUAAACAGAUAACACGAUGGCCGCAUGCGGGCAGAACACCUAGUAUAGUUAUAUAAAAGAGUGUAGUAACAGAUGUCUUAGUUGGAGGAAAUCACGUGAUUGGUUUGAACUGUCAUGGCUGUGGUUUUUACAAGAAGUUUUUGUUAAAACUGUUAAAGCUUUGUGUAAUAAUGAAAAGGGUUUUAAGAAAAAACUAACGUAACAAAUGAAAAUAACAAAAAGUGGGAUGUGAGAAAUUUUAGGAGAACUUUGAGGAUUUUUAAACUUUAAAAAUCUGAUUGAAAAAAUAAAUUUUGGAGAUUUUAUAAAAAAGUAAAAGGCUCUGAAGUCUAACCCAAUCAUACUCAUUGUUUUGCGGAUAUCACUUGGUUUCCCUAAUCUUAUCGGUAGAGACGAUGUGUUAAUAGCUAUUUGAAAUGUUUUGGUGGUACAUAUAUUACUAGAUAGUAAUAUGCGCAGUGUGCGUGAAGUGAAUUAGUUUAUUAGAUUAUUUAUUGUAUGUUGUGCUAAGAGAUUUGUCGUAUAGUUUUUUUUAAGGAUGAAUAUUCAUAUAUCCGUUCGAAUUCAGUUGAUCUAUUAGGAUUUUUGAUUUUUAGAGUUAGAAAUUUAAAUCUUAUUCGAAUAUUUACAAAUUUUGGUUUGUACGUGGUUCAAAUAUUGUGGGUUCAGUUCGGAUUCGAGUUUGGAUACAUUAAUUACACAUUUUUUUAACAAAAAUUCAAAUAUACUUACGUCUUCAAAAUCCGAAAAUAAAAUAGGGAUGACUUAAAGUGGAAUGACUUAAUUUCUAAAUCAAAUUAAUUUCAUGGUACCAUAAACAAAUUUAAAUAGGGAUGACUUAAAGUGGAAUAUGCCAUUGUAUAUAAAUCCAAGCGUGCAGAAACUUUAUUAUAAUAUAAGAUUUGCGUCAUUAUAAAAUAAUUUAUCUAUAUUAUUAAAAUACAAACAUUAUUCAAUAUCAAUACAAUUAAAACAGCAUCCCUUUUUUUGACAUCCCCUUAGACUUUAUAAGUAUUUACAGUAGACUUAAAUAGGGAUGACUUAAAGUGGAAUAUGCCAUUGUAUAUAAAUCCAAGCGUGCAGAAACUUUAUUAUAAUAUAAGAUUUGCGUCAUUAUAAAAUAAUUUAUCUAUAUUAUUAAAAUACAAACAUUAUUCAAUAUCAAUACAAUUAAAACAGCAUCCCUUUUUUUGACAUCCCCUUAGACUUUAUAAGUAUUUACAGUAGACUGCCACUGCAUAUUUAUUAUUAAUGAUUUUAAUUUAUGUUGCACGAUUCAUGGGAUUCAUGGGCCACAAUAACAACCAAGGUGAUCAAAAUUGACAGCUGGGAUCAGUACAGUAGACUACCACUGCAUAUUUUUUAUUAAUGAUAAUAAAGAUAUUAAUUUAUGUUACACGAUUCAUGGGAUUCAUGGGCCACAAUAACAACCAAGUUUAUAUUCUGAAAGUAUAUUCUCCGAACAAAAGUUCAACAUAUUUGCGGAAUAAUAUGAUAAUAUAUUUCGUAUUAUAACAAACCCUAAUUCCCAAGGCGUGGUGUUUCCACUCCUUUCAUAUAUAAACUAAUACUGGCCAUAACCAACCUUACACCUUGCUAAACAACAAACCUUAUGAAAAUGAACGCUACACCAAAGCUCUCUUACCUGUCCGAUAUCAGGCCGUACAAGCCUGAAUGGUGGGUCCAAGUCAAGGUCCUUCAUACCUGGAAACAACACAGUGAAUACGGUGAAACCAUGGAAAUCAUUUUUGCUGACAAGAAGGUAAAUACAGUAGACUGCCACUGCAUAUUUAUUAUUAAUGAUUUUAAUUUAUGUUGCACGAUUCAUGGGAUUCAUGGGCCACAAUAACAACCAAGGUGAUCAAAAUUGACAGCUGGGAUCAGUACAGUAGACUACCACUGCAUAUUUUUUAUUAAUGAUAAUAAAGAUAUUAAUUUAUGUUACACGAUUCAUGGGAUUCAUGGGCCACAAUAACAACCAAGUUUAUAUUCUGAAAGUAUAUUCUCCGAACAAAAGUUCAACAUAUUUGCGGAAUAAUAUGAUAAUAUAUUUCGUAUUAUAACAAACCCUAAUUCCCAAGGCGUGGUGUUUCCACUCCUUUCAUAUAUAAACUAAUACUGGCCAUAACCAACCUUACACCUUGCUAAACAACAAACCUUAUGAAAAUGAACGCUACACCAAAGCUCUCUUACCUGUCCGAUAUCAGGCCGUACAAGCCUGAAUGGUGGGUCCAAGUCAAGGUCCUUCAUACCUGGAAACAACACAGUGAAUACGGUGAAACCAUGGAAAUCAUUUUUGCUGACAAGAAGGUAAAUGAUUUUGAUCUUUUUUUGAUAGAAGAAUAUAUAAUAUUCCAGUUUGUUAACAAAUUAUGAUAAAACAGUUUUACUUAAUAAAACUCUGUUUUCCUUAUUUUAGGGAAACAAAAUUCAAGCAUCUUGCAAAAAAAACUACUUGCUUAGUUUGGGUGCCGAAUGUCGUGUGGGUGAAUGGAAAAACCUAGAAAAUUUUGUGAUUACUCCAGCAGGAGGUGGAUACCGACCUACCAAUCAUCCUUAUAAGCUGUCGUUCAUGAAGUUCACCUCAAUUGAACCAUAUGAAUACAAUAAUAUCGAUAUGUUUCUGGAUUUAGUGGAGUUUAGAACUAUAUUGAGUGGACAGCUAGACAACAAUUUCUUGAUUGGUAUAUUUUAAAAACGUUUUUUUAUUGUAGUAUGUUUAGUUAUUGUUUAUUAAUAUAUUGUUUGUUUUGUUUUAUCUAGAUGUUGUGGGGCAAGCCAUAGAUAUUGGAGAAAAGUUAAGUCUCCAAUGUAGUAAUGGGAAAGAAAAAAAGAAGAUUGAAUUCACUCUCAGAGACAUAAAUGAUGAACGCAUACCAUGUUGUCUUUGGGGGAACUUUGCUGAUACUUUGGAAUCAUAUAUAGAAGAAGCACAAUUGGGAGUGGUUGUAUGUUUGAUCAGAUUUGCAAAAAUUGGAUCAUUUAGAAGUAAAUAUCCUUUACUACUCUUAAAUAAAUUAAGUUAAUCUUUUUAUCUUAUUAUUAAAUAAUGAUAUAUAUAUAUAUAUAUAUUUGCUUUAGGUAAACUCCAAAUUUCAAAUGCUUUUGAUACCUCUCAAUUAUUGAUCAAUCCACCAAUAGAGGAGAGUGCUGCAUUGAAAGAAAUGUUAGUUAUUUUGAUACUCUUUAACGUUUUUACGUAGCUCUUUUAGAGUCUAUGACUAACCAUUUUAAAAUAAUAUUUUACUUAAAAAUGACAUGGCCAGGUUUAAGUGUGAUACAGCAAACAUGUCAAUUGUUGAAUCAAACGAUCCUAACAAUCAGAUGGUUCGUCACGAGACUAAGGUGAUCAAAAUUGACAGCUGGGAUCAGUAUGAUGAUAAAACCGUGGCUGAAUUAUUGACUUCUACACAGGUUUAUUUUUGUGCUCUGAUUUUAAUUAUUUUAAGUUUUCAUAACUAAUUUUUUGGUUUUUUUAUCUAUAUAUUCUUCUCAGAUUGGGAAAUGCAAGGUUGUGUGUACAAUCUAUGCUGUAGAUACCGAUUUCGGUUGGUAUUACUUUGGAUGUGACAUAUGCAACACUAAAACUUAUAAAGUUAAUCAAAGAUACAUCACAUCUGGGAAGGAAUUAGCAUCCCCUCUGUUUUGGUGUGAAAAAUGCAAUGACAAUGUUACUAAUGUGUCUCCUAAGUAUGUGAAUAUAUUUCUUUGCGUCAUUAAUCUUUGUUAAUCCUGUCCUUUGUAUACUCGGUCUAUAACUGUUUUGAUUUUUCAGAUUUAAGGUUCACUUGCUGUUAAAGGACGAUACAGGAACCACCAAAUUCAUGCUUCUUGAUUCCAUUGCAAAUGGAAUUAUAGCAGAAAGUGCUGAAAAAAUCCUAAAAGGAUCAUUGAUCGAGGUAAAUUCGAACUCAUAAUUGUGUUGUAUAUUUAUGCUUUUUUCAUAUUUGACAGCACUAAUUUCGUGAUUGUUUCUCUAGAUUGAAUAUCCAGAGCUGUUGCCCCAGUCACUUAGAGAUGUUAUCGGAAAGACAUAUAAGUUUGGUGUUAUCAUUGAAAAGAACAAUGUUGCUUAUGGAUCUAAGAGUUACAGAGUUGCAAAGGUUUGGUCUAUCAGCAAUAUGCUAAUGGUUGAUUCACAGUCAGAGACUAAGUCUGCGCUUGAUACCACCCUCCCUGUGGAUGAGGUAUUUUAUUUUCUUUAUUAAAUUAGUAACCUAUAUGAUUGAUUGCUUAUCAAUUCUAUAAAUAACUAUACUUAUUAUUUUUCUUAGAUAUCUCUCCUGACUGACGGUGAGGAAAGUUCUGUGACUUUAAAAACACCAACUUCUAAGCGAUCCCAAGCUAUGAAAGAUGAUGUUCCUGAACUCACCUCGACAUCGAAAAGGCAAUGCGCAAAAAAUAUCAAGAUCGAGAAAUAAUCAGUUGAGGAGAUGAAGAUCAAGAAUUUAGUUCAAUUUCCUUUGUGGUUUUUUUAGUUUAGAAAAAUAAGUGUGAUCUUUUGAAUCAACACCUUAUAAAUGUUGCUUUGUUUAUUUUUUUCAUCAUUUUAGAAAUAAUUGUGAUCUUUUGAAUCAUAAACUUUUAAUUUGUUCUCUUUUUUAUAAAAAUAAAUUUUAUAUUA